rnacentral:rRNA from 1 species
UACGUAGGCAGCAAGCGUUGUUCGGAGUUACUGGGCGUAAAGCGCGCGCAGGCGGUGCGGUAAGUCUGUCGUGAAAUCUCCCGGCUCAACUGGGAGGGUGCGGUGGAGACUGCCGGACUAGAGGCACUCAGAGGCCGGUGGAAUUCCCGGUGUAGUGGUGAAAUGCGUAGAGAUCGGGAGGAACACCAGUGGCGAAGGCGGCCGGCUGGGGGUGACCUGACGCUGAGGCGCGAAAGCGUGGGGAGCGAACCGG